UACGUAGGGGGCAAGCGUUGUCCGGAAUCAUUGGGCGUAAAGCGCGUGUAGGCGGCUAGGUAAGUCUGCUCUGAAAGCCCGGGGCUCAACCCCGGGAGGCGGGUGGAUACUGUCUAGCUCGAGUCCGGAAGAGGAGUGUGGAAUUCCUGGUGUAGCGGUGAAAUGCGCAGAUAUCAGGAGGAACACCAAUGGCGAAGGCAGCACUCUGGGCCGGUACUGACGCUGAGGAGCGAAAGCGUGGGGAGCAAACAGG
rnacentral:rRNA from 1 species